AGAGUUUGAUCCUGGCUCAGAUUGAACGCUGGCGGCAUGCCUUACACAUGCAAGUCGAGCGGCAGCGCGGGGGCAACCCUGGCGGCGAGCGGCGAACGGGUGAGUAAUGCAUCGGAACGUGUCCUCUUGUGGGGGGAUAACCAGUCGAAAGACUGGCUAAUACCGCAUGAGAUCGAGAGAUGAAAGCAGGGGACCGCAAGGCCUUGCGCGAGAGGAGCGGCCGAUGCCGGAUUAGCUAGUUGGUGGGGUAAUGGCCUACCAAGGCGACGAUCCGUAGCUGGUCUGAGAGGACGACCAGCCACACUGGGACUGAGACACGGCCCAGACUCCUACGGGAGGCAGCAGUGGGGAAUUUUGGACAAUGGGGGCAACCCUGAUCCAGCCAUGCCGCGUGUGUGAAGAAGGCCUUCGGGUUGUAAAGCACUUUCGGACGGAACGAAAUCGCGCGGGUGAACAUCCCGCGUGGAUGACGGUACCGUAAGAAGAAGCACCGGCUAACUACGUGCCAGCAGCCGCGGUAAUACGUAGGGUGCGAGCGUUAAUCGGAAUUACUGGGCGUAAAGUGUGCGCAGGCGGCCGCGCAAGUCGAGUGUGAAAGCCCCGGGCUUAACUUGGGAAUUGCGCUCGAAACUACGUGGCUGGAGUGUGGCAGAGGAAGGUGGAAUUCCACGUGUAGCGGUGAAAUGCGUAGAGAUGUGGAGGAACACCGAUGGCGAAGGCAGCCUUCUGGGCCAACACUGACGCUCAUGCACGAAAGCGUGGGGAGCAAACAGGAUUAGAUACCCUAGUAGUCC
rnacentral:rRNA from 1 species